rnacentral:rRNA from 1 species
AGAGUUUGAUCCUGGCUCAGAUUGAACGCUGGCGGAAUGCUUUACACAUGCAAGUCGAACGGCAGCACGGGGGCAACCCUGGUGGCGAGUGGCGAACGGGUGAGUAAUACAUCGGAACGUGCCCAGUCGUGGGGGAUAACGCAGCGAAAGCUGUGCUAAUACCGCAUACGAUCUACGGAUGAAAGCGGGGGACUCGCAAGGGCCUCGCGCGAUUGGAGCGGCCGAUGGCAGAUUAGGUAGUUGGUGGGGUAAAGGCUCACCAAGCCUGCGAUCUGUAGCUGGUCUGAGAGGACGACCAGCCACACUGGGACUGAGACACGGCCCAGACUCCUACGGGAGGCAGCAGUGGGGAAUUUUGGACAAUGGGCGCAAGCCUGAUCCAGCCAUUCCGCGUGCAGGAUGAAGGCCUUCGGGUUG